AUGCGUUCGCCGCCUGGCUCCGGACUAUUCUGCUGCCCGCGUGAUGUGCCGAGCCGCCGACGCCUGCCGCCCUGCGCUGCACCUACAUGGCAUGCCUCAGGCGGCCGCCUCGAUCCGCGGCUUGCAGGUGGCCGCCCUUCAGUUUAGCACAAGGAAAACGUUGCGCCAUUGAUCGAUCAAGGGAACCUAAUGAAGAGAUUCUUUGGAAAAUCAACAACCCGCAAUACAGAGGUGACAGUUAAACACUUUCAUGGGAAAAAUUGCCAUGGGAUGAAACAGAAGGAGCUUGAAGACUACUAAUUAAUUCAAAAAUAUCAAAAGCGACAUAUUGAUAUUUCUCAAGUUAUUGGGACUUAAAUGGUUAGUUUAUUUUACUUGGGCAAUUUACUUGACAUAAGUAUGUGCGUGCUGACAUCAUCUUAUAAGAAAAUAUACAAUUUUACUUCUUU